CGCUUGGAAGAUGGCUGCGCCCUGUGGCUCGGAGCUGCCCGCCAACUCGCCGCUAAAAAUCCCGAAGAUGGAGGUGCUCUCCCCGGCUUCUCCUGGUGGCCUGAGCGACGGAAACCCAUCGCUGUCCGACCCUUCCACGCCUCGGGGUGCCUCCCCGCUCGGGCCGGGCAGUGCGGCGGGCUCGGGGGCAGCGGCGUCCGGGGGUCUCGGGCUGGGGCUGGGGGGCCGCAGCGCCGCCUCGUCCUCGGUCUCCUUCUCCCCUGGUGGAGGCGGUGGUGGCGGGGCUGCGGCAGCCGCCGCCGCCGCCUGCCGGGGCAUGUCGUGGACGCCGGCAGAGACGAACGCGCUCAUCGCAGUGUGGGGCAACGAGCGGCUGGUGGAGGCACGGUACCAGCAGCUGGAGGGAGCCGGCACGGUGUUCGGCAGCAAGGCCCCCGGGCCGGCCAUGUACGAGCGCGUGUCCCGGGCCCUGGCCGAGCUGGGCUACGAGCGGACCCCGUCCCAGUGCCGGGAGCGCAUCAAGGUGGUGCCCUGGGAUGUGACGUACUGAGAAAAGAUUCAACAGAGAUGCUAAUGUAGCACCGUCAGCGCUGAUAUAGGAGCUGGUUCGAUGCCCAGAACUGAAUGCUGUGUUCCAGCUGUGGCCUCACCGGUGCUGAAUAGAGAGGAAGAGCCACCUCCAUAGCUUACAUGUGAUUCCUCUGCUUACACAACCCAAUACUGGAUUUACUUACUUUGGCAAGAUAGCUGCAUUGUGCACUGUAUUUAAUGUUACGUGUACUGUAACCCUGGGUCUCUCUCUGCAUUGCUGCCGUUAAACCCCCAAUCCUGCCAAUCUUAAAGCUCCUGCCUUUGUUUACCUGCCCCGCUUCCCACCCCCCAGACUCCCCUUACAUUCAUCCACAAUGAAUGUCAUCUUUUAUUCUCUCAUUUCCUCUCACUGUAAUCUUAAACUUUGGCAAAACCUUCCCUCUGUCUAUGAAUUGUCAGUUGUCAGCCAUCUGAUUUUUUCUCCCUGCUUUGGUAAUGGGACAUCUCUCACUUCUCUCUGGUUUUCUUUUGUAGUCGUUGAACACUUGGCAUGGUGGAUUUAUCAAGCAUUCACUUGGCAGUUCUUCUGAAUCAGAUACCUUUGGAUUUCUCUGAUCCGACCACAUGGUCAAGUUGUUUUAGUUCUUCUAUCCGUGUGACUUCACUCAGGAUAUAGUAUUAUCUCAUAACUCCUGGGGGAGACAGUAAUAGAGAUUUACCAUGAACAUUUCUAACAGUAAAGGAAGUGUUCUUCUUCACUGUGAAUAGAAUAGUCUUUAAUAAUUUUAAGCAAAUUCUUUCCUCUCUGAGGUCUUAAUUUUUUGAAAAAUGCUAGAGCCAAGUGACUAUAAAUUUGUAAGAUGGGUGAGAUAUAAAGGAAGAAAGGAAGGAAACAAGAUUUCUCUGUAGAACAGGAAAUGGUUCUCGAAGGAAGCUGAAUUGAGGUUCUUGUUGGGCUUGGUACAGCUUUCCAAAAUGGGAGGCAAGUUUUUCCUAGAUACCAUUGCAUUAUCUAAUCUAAGGUGCACAGUCGAUGUUUAGUUGGUUUAUUGAGGACUGUUGAUACAGACAUACAAUCUUUGUGCUUUGGUUAAUCAUUUAGAGUGUGGAAAGUGUAACCUUUUCUGGUUUAUUAUGGAUGAUAAGAAUUGGAAGGCCUCCGUAUGUCCUUUUCCUGCAUUUCUAAAGUCCCUCUCGCUUAUCUAAAUCCCAGUGUUUGUUAGAGUAGCAGUCAAGCUGAUGUUUCUUUCUUUGUUUUCUAUCUCAGUUGAUAUAUGCUUUUUAAACAGCCUCUGCUUGGAUCUGUGGUCUUUACUGAACCCAGAACGCACCUCUUUUGUGUAUUUAUGUCUCCAGAGAGUUGGAAAUCUUUUUAACAUUGUUUCGAUACAUCAAAUUCCCAUCUUAUGGAUUUAGAUGUCACCAAACAUUUUUCAUUCAGACGCCUAAUAGGUAUUUUACAUUUCAGCAUAUUACACUACUAAAGUAUAUUUCAAAAUUACUCUGCAAAGUAAGAGGUGACAGGAUCUGUUAGACUUUUUUUUGAUGGAAUAUAAAAUAUAUCAUCUGACUGUUCUUCCAUAUCUAGAACCCUUAAACACUGCUGGUUUCCUUAUUCAUACACAGAAGAAGUGAAAUGUUAAGCUCGAUUAGAUGGUUUCAAAGAAAGUAAAUCUUCUCUGUAGCUUCCCACCAAAUGUAGUGUCAAAGAUUGGUCGCUUUGCUCACGCCUUGGUCACAUAGUGUGGCACGUUCCUUCAGAGGAGUGUUAAUUUCACUCCCUGACUUCCGAAGUGACCCUCAGCGACAGAUCCGUGGGGGUUCUUUGUGUGUGGAGAGCCGUGCUCCAGGCAGCCAGCAAGUAGGGAGCGCUGAGUGGUGUGGUUUCCAUCUCCAUUUAUGGCCUUGGAAGGGUGAGAGGGACAAGGCUGGGACUCUCCAUUUACGGUCCUUGGAGGAGCUGAAAAGAGCAGUUGGGGUGUUCCUGGAGGCAGAAAGUAGACAUUGUGAGAUAAAAAUAAAUUGGCAGGAGAUGUUUGCAAUUCAAAUUCCAGUUCCCGCAAGGAGGGCAGAGGGUCCCGGGUAAUGGGGUAUAGAAAGUUACAUGAGGUCAGCUGGAGGCAUUUGUCCCCUCCCAUUUGAAGAGUUGCCCAUGACACAUUUCCCAGGUUCAUUUCCAAUUUGUUCCAGAAAGUUGUGUGUUAUGUACUUGUGAGUAUCCUUUACAAAGAGGAAGAAGGAACACUUUUAAAGAGUGUAUGAUCAGAAACCUUACUUCUUUAAGGCAUCCUUUCAUGUACCAAAAGAAAUCUCCAGAAAGGAAGAGUGAGGCAAGUGCUUAUGCAGGGGACAGGCUGGCUGGUUUCAGGGUGGACGACUCUUAAUCGCUGCUCUGUGUCGGAGGAAGAUUGUCAUGUGUGUUUUGUGUUUAUUAUUCCCUUUGCCUGUCUGGAUUUCUGGCCUCAAGGGAGAGAUCUGCAGUGUUUGACAGAGUGUCUUCCUGUAGUUUGUCAACUGAGAUUUAAUGGUACUGAACUUUCGAGGAGGCUCCAUAAAGAUUAUUCAGAGUUGUUUUAUUUUGGCGAGAGUAGGUGAGGUAUUGGCUUAUGGAAAGUCAUCUCACAUUCAGGAGAAAUUCAGUUUGGCUGAUGUGUGUAAAUUAAGUCUAAGGUAAGCUAGUUUGGCACAGUUGAGUUUGAAAGCAUUUGGAGAAAAAGAGUCUUGUCUGCCAUGAAAAGUCUCAAGAGUAAAACCCAGUAAAGUAGAAAGGAGAUGAAAAGGAACAAAAGGAGGCAGAGACAGGACAGAGAAUGAAUAUAAUUAAACUAAAUUUGGAACUGAGGCGCAAGGCCUGGGACUAAAUCCUUGAUUUAUCUUUUGAAAUAUCAUGUAAGAUAGCAUAAGAUAUACCAUUAAACUAAGGAACUGGGUUAAUUAUCAGAAGUAUGCAUUGGAAGACGAUGAAGCAGGUUGAAGGGUUGUGCAAGGUAAUAAAAUUAUACAGGUUUUAUCUGUGGACUUGCAUAAGGAUAUGUUAUUUGCUCUGUACCACGAAGCAGAAAAAGAAGUGAAAUAACACCCUUCCACCUCACUUUCUGUGACCCCACCCCAAAAGAAAUUAUUGGCUUCUCUUGUUGGUGUUUGGCUGACAGUUUGAGUUGGUAGAAUAGGCUAGUAUUAUCAUUGGCUGAUUUUUAGGUGUUGGUAUCAGUGUCUUGUUGUUUCUUGAUGAUUGAGAUAGCAUCUGUAGUGUUAUUGAUUUGAUCUCUUUCAAAUUCAAUUCUAGCAACUGCCCCAAAGUCAGAGUGAGUUAGUAAGGAGUGUGGACUGUGUAAGUAAUUUGUUUUCCUAGCUAAUUCAUUUAGGCAAUUGUGUUUACCCUAUGUUCUUUCUUAAUCGAGAGUAAGGAAGGGCACAUUCUUUGCUUUGGGAAAUUCCUCUUUCUGUCCCCCCUCCCCUCACUUUCUCCAAAUUCUGGGCACAACAGCGGCUCUUCCUUUUCUGUGGCAGGUGUGCAUCCUAUUGGCUGGCUGGUAUUUCUUGUUUUCUUUUUUUUUUUCCUUAUUCUUUUAAAAUGGGGGUGGGGGUAUAAAAAUAUGUGUAUGGGAUACAUGCAAUAAUGUUGUAAUGUUUCUUGUUGUUUAAUGGAUAAUUAAUUGCAAAAUAAUUGUUUGAAUUAUAACAUGUUUGAGUAAAUGCUAAAUUAGUCAUUUUUUUCUAAUAUAAUAAUGAAUUUAAAAUCUAGCAUUCCUGUAACAAUGUGUCUGUGUUUGUCUGUCCGUGUCUGUCUAAUAGUAAUUAAUAUCUGUGGUCCGUACCUGGAAGAGGAAGUACAGCUUUAAAGGAAUAACAAAAGACUUUGUGUCUUAGACCCUUCGCAGGUGUUACAGUCGGGUGAAAGAACAUGGUGUUGGGAAAAGAAAGAGCAGUUACACAUUUGAACAGUUGGAACAGGUGUUUGGU